UAAAACCUAAUCUAUGUACAGGACACGUCGGU
rnacentral:piRNA from 1 species